UGUAAAUCCAAAAAGAACCAGUUCCCGCAGCCUCAGUUCAGUGUCUUUUUCUCAUGUGAGGGAGCUCAUGUGGAGUGUUUGGGUGGCCAGUUUAUUCCCGCACCUCUCACUGAACCUGUCACCUCUAGGCCUCAUCUCUGUCUUUAGUUCCAUGAAUCUCUCCUGCAGCCCAGAGACUCUCUCAUGACCUGCAGUGGAGGUGUCAGAACCCCGGGGGUCUGGAUCCAUACUGAGUCAGCUUCUUCCCCCUCAGACAGACUGAUAGAUCUAACACCCCUCCGCACACGCCCACUGCCACCUUAAUCUCUCACCAAUACACUUCAACUGAGCCCAGGCUGGUGCUAAGAGCGACAAGACGCGUUUGUCAAGGUGUGAAUGCUGUAAUGAGUAGAAGCUUCUCUUCAGUAAAGAAAAUCCCUGUGGAGAAAGAUAAAGGACCUACACAUACUGCUUCUCAUGUUAUACAAGCAGCUAAGAUCAUUUGGACUAUUAGUUUUUUCUGAUGUUUUGCCUUUGUAAUUGAUUUGUAGCUUUUGUCUAGCAAUCACACAACACAGCAUUUGUGUUUUCUAGUUACAAGCAUUAGCA